rnacentral:rRNA from 1 species
GAUGAACGCUAGCUACAGGCUUAACACAUGCAAGGUCGAGGGGAAACGACAUCGAAAGCUUGCUUUUGGUGGGCGUCGACCGGCGCACGGGUGAGUAACGCGUAUCCAACCUGCCCACCACUUGGGGAUAACCUUGCGAAAGUAAGACUAAUACCCAAUGAUAUCCCACGAAGGCAUCCGAAUGGGAUUAAAGAUUUAUCGGUGAUGGAUGGGGAUGCGUCUGAUUAGCUUGUUGGCGGGGUAACGGCCCACCAAGGCAACGAUCAGUAGGGGUUCUGAGAGGAAGGUCCCCCACAUUGGAACUGAGACACGGUCCAAACUCCUACGGGAGGCAGCAGUGAGGAAUAUUGGUCAAUGGGCGAGAGCCUGAACCAGCCAAGUAGCGUGCAGGAUGACGGCCCUAUGGGUUGUAAACUGCUUUUAUAAGGGAAUAAAGUGGGUCUCGUGAGACUUUUUGCAUGUACCUUAUGAAUAAGGACCGGCUAAUUCCGUG